rnacentral:rRNA from 1 species
GACGAACCGUGCGAACGUUAUUCGGAAUCACUGGGCUUAAAGCGCGUGUAGGCGGGAGGGCACGUCCGACGUUGAAAGCCCCCGGCUCAACCGGGGAACGGGCGCGGAUACGACCUUCCUGGAGGGACGUAGGGGGACCUGGAACUUCCGGUGGAGCGGUGAAAUGCGUUGAGAUCGGAAGGAACGCCCGUGGCGAAAGCGAGGUCCUGGACGUUUUCUGACGCUGAGACGCGAAAGCCAGGGGAGCGAACGGG